AGUUGGCUGUGACUCAGAGGAGUUACUGACUCCUCCUCUUAUUGAUGUUCUUCUGGCCUCUGAGAUACCUGAGAAUGAGCCACUAGACGAACUGGAUCUGGUGCAGGAAACACACAGAAGAGGAGAAAACAUACGCACAGUGGUGGUGUGAAGACAGAGGCAGAAAUUGCAAUGACAUGGCCAUAAGCCAAGGAAGCCAGGGGACAUCAACAGCCACUAAAUGCCGGAGGAAGCAAGGAAAUGCUCUUCCCAAGAAUCUCCAGAGAGCGAGCCCCAGCUGACACCUUGAUUUUGGACGCAUGAUCUUCAAAACUGCAAGGCUAUUCAAGUAUCUAGCCCACCGUGUCAUUAAGCCAACAUGAAAAUGGAGG